rnacentral:piRNA from 1 species
UAUUCUGAAGACAGAGUUGGUAGAACCCUGC